UACGUAGGGUGCGAGCGUUGUCCGGAAUUAUUGGGCGUAAAGGGCUCGUAGGCGGUUUGUCGCGUCGGGAGUGAAAACGCCGUGCUUAACACGGCGCUUGCUUUCGAUACGGGCAGACUAGAGGUAUUCAGGGGAGAACGGAAUUCCUGGUGUAGCGGUGAAAUGCGCAGAUAUCAGGAAGAACACCCGUGGCGAAGGCGGUUCUCUGGGACGGUACUGACGCUGAGACGCGAAAGCGUGGGGAGCGAACAGG
rnacentral:rRNA from 1 species